UAAGCAAUAAGCCCCUGCUUGACUUAGCUACGGCCUAACCAAGGGUCGGUAAACUCCGUGCCAGCCACCGCGGUUACACGAAGGACCCAAGACAACCCCCACGGCGUAAAAUGUGACUAAAGACCUUCUCACUUAAUGGGACAAAAACUGUAAUAAAGUCGUAAAACACUUAUAUAUACAGGCCCUGCCCCAAACAACAGAAUAACUUGACCCCACGAAAGCUGGGGUACAAACUAGGAUUAGAUACCCUACUAUGCCCAGCCAUAAACCUCAGCAGUCCCCCCACCAACUGCCCGCCAGAGGAUUACAGGCAAAAGCCUAAAACCCUAAGGACUUGACGGUGCUCCGCACCCACCUAGAGGAGCCUGUCCUAUAAUCGAUACUCCACGAUACACCCGACCCCCUCUUGCACCCAUGCCGCCUAUAUACCGCCGUCACCAGCCUACCUUAUGACAGAUCCUACAGUAGGCAAAAUAUUCAACCACUAACACGUCAGGUCAAGGUGUAGCUAACGAGGGGGACAGAGAUGGGCUACAUUUUCUAAAAUAGAAAAUCACCACAAACAGCAUGAAAACCUGUUAGAAGGCGGAUUUAGCAGUAAAUUUAGGUAAGACUUGCCUAAUUGAAGCCCGCCCCGGAGCGCGUACACACCGCCCGUCACCCUCUUCGAACCACACAUACUAAUACAUAAAAUUUUUCCCCCAAAAAGACGAGGUAAGUCGUAACAUGGUAAGUGUACCGGAAGGUGCACUUGGCUAAAACAAAAGGUAGCUUACAAUUAAAGCAUUCAGCUUACAACUGAAAAAUGUCCUACAAGACCCUAUUGAGCCCUCACCGCAAGCCCUCUCCUCUUUUACCAACCAACCCACUAAUUAACCAAAUCAUUUGUCACACCUAGUAUCCGCGACAAAAAAGUACUUUAAGGAGCACUAGCCACUAGUACCGCAAGGAAACAAUGAAAGAACAAGUCAAACCCCGCCCAACAUAGCAGGGUCUAACCCCCGUACCUCUUGCAUCAUGGUUUAGCCAGCACCCCCAGAUAAAGUGCACUAAAAUCUGCACACCCGAACCCAGACGAGCUACCUAAAAGCAGUCAUA
rnacentral:rRNA from 1 species